CUUAAAUAAAGAAGGUAAGAAACCUAGGACCAAAGCACCUAAGAUUCAGCGUCUUGUGACAGAUAGGAAGAG